GUGGAUUAGGCAUGCAAGUCGAACGUUGGCAGCGUGGAUUAGGCAUGCAAGUCGAACGGUAGAUUUCCGAAAUGAUCCUUCGGGUGAUUUUCAGAAAUUGAGAGUGGCGAAAGGGUGAGUAUCACGUGAACAACCUGCCUCUAAGUUGGGGACAACUACCGGAAACGGUAGCUAAUACCGGAUGUGGUUCUUUAACGCAUGUUAAAGAAACUAAAGCUGGGGACCUUCGGGCCUGGCGCUUAGAGAGGGGUUCGCGUCCUAUCAGUUUGUUGGUGAGGUAAUGGCUCACCAAGGCUAAGACGGGUAGCCGGCCUGAGAGGGUGACCGGCCACACUGGGACUGAGACACUGC
rnacentral:rRNA from 1 species